UGCAGAGAGUUCUCAAGAGAGAUGGG
rnacentral:piRNA from 1 species